rnacentral:rRNA from 2 species
GACAGAGGGUGCAAACGUUGUUCGGAAUUACUGGGCGUAAAGCGUGUGUAGGCGGUCUGAUAAGUCGGAUGUGAAAGCCCCGGGCUCAACCCGGGAAGUGCACUCGAUACUGUCAGGCUUGAGUAUCGGAGAGGUUGGUGGAAUUCUCGGUGUAGAGGUGAAAUUCGUAGAUAUCGAGAGGAACACCGGUGGCGAAGGCGGCCAACUGGACGAAUACUGACGCUGAGACACGAAAGCGCGGGGAGCAAACAGG